rnacentral:rRNA from 2 species
CCCCUAGUAACUGCGAGUGAAGCGGGAAAAGCUCAAAUUUGAAAUCUGGCGGUUCCGCCGUCCGAGUUGUAUUCUGGAGAAGCGUUUUCCGUGCCGGACCGUGUACAAGUCCCUUGGAACAGGGCGUCGUAGAGGGUGAGAAUCCCGUCUUUGACACGGACCCCCGGUGCUAUGCGAUGCGCUCUCGAAGAGUCGAGUUGUUUGGGAAUGCAGCUCAAAAUGGGUGGUAAAUUCCAUCUAAAGCUAAAUAUUGGCGAGAGACCGAUAGCGAACAAGUACCGUGAGGGAAAGAUGAAAAGCACUUUGGAAAGAGAGUAAAACAGUACGUGAAAUUGUUGAAAGGGAAACGCUUGAAGUCAGUCGCGUCUGCCGGAACUCAGCCUUGCUUCUGCUUGGUGCACUUUCCGGUUCGACGGGCCAGCAUCGGUUUCGAGCGGCGGACACUGGCGAGGGGAAGGUGGCAGCUCCGGCUGUGUUAUAGCCCCUUGUCGCAAACGUCGCCCGGGACCGAGGAAUCCGGCGCAAGCCUGGGAUGCUGGCGUAAUGGCUUUAAACGACCCGUCUUGAAAACACUGACCAAGGAGUGCUACGUGCUCGCGAGUGUUUGGGUGGAAAACCCGGACGCGCAAUGAAAGUGAAAGUCGAUACCCCUCACGGGGGCACCGACGCCCGAGCCUGAUGUUUUCGGAAGGCCUUGCGGUAGAGCGAGUGCGUUGCGACCCGAAAGAUGGUGAACUAUUCCUGAGGAGGGCGAAGCCAGAGGAAACUCUGGUGGAGGCUCGUAGCGGUUCUGACGUGCAAAUCGAUCGCAGGACUUGGGUAUAGGGGCGAAAGACUAAUCGAACCAUCUAGUAGCUGGUUCCUGCCGAAGUUUCCCUCAGGAUAGCAGAAGCUCAUAUCAGAUUUAUGUGGUAAAGCGAAUGAUUAGAGGCCUUGGGGUUGAAACAACCUUAACCUAUUCUCAAACUUUAAAUAUGUAAGGACGAGCCGUCACUUGAUUGGACCGCUCGACGAUUGAGAGCUUCUAGUGGGCCAUUUUUGGUAAGCAGAACUGGCGAUGCGGGAUGAACCGAUCGCGAGGUUAAGGUGCCGGAAUGCACGCUCAUCAGACACCACAAAAGGUGUUAGUUCAUCUAGACAGCAGGACGGUGGCCAUGGAAGUCGGAAUCCGCUAAGGAGUGUGUAACAACUCACCUGCCGAAUGAACUAGCCCUGAAAAUGGAUGGCGCUCAAGCGUGCUACCCAUACCUCGCCGUCAGCGUUGAAGUGACGCGCUGACGAGUAGGCAGGCGUGGGGGUCUGUGA